GACGAACGCUGGCGGCGUGCUUAACACAUGCAAGUCGAACGAAGUGGCGAACGGGUGAGUAACGCGUAGGUAACUGCCUGGUAGCGGGGGAUAACUAUUGGAAACGAUAGCUAAUACCGCAUACUACCAGAUGGACCUGCGUUGUAUUAGCUAGUUGGUGGUGUAACGGCUCACCAAGGCCACGAUGCAUAGCCGACCUGAGAGGGUGAUCGGCCACACUGGGACUGAGACACGGCCCAGACUCCUACGGGAGGCAGCAGUAGGGAAUCUUCGGCAAUGGACGAAAGUCUGACCGAGCAACGCCGCGUGAGUGAAGAAGGUUGUCGGAGCGUAAAACUCUGUUGUUAGAGAAGCGGUAUCUAACCAGAAAGCCACGGCUAACUACGUGCCAGCAGCCGCGGUAAUAC
rnacentral:rRNA from 1 species